rnacentral:lncRNA from 1 species
AUGGCUGACCUAGGUGAACCUCAAGGAGAAGCCACCACUAUAUUUUGUGACAACAAAUCAGCAAUUGCCAUAGCAAAAAAAUCAAUUUUUUAUAGGAAGACUAAGCACAUUAAAGUCAAAUUCCAUUUUAUCAGAGAAGCCAAAAGUGAAGGUGAAGUCAAGCUUGUUCAUUGCAAGGUAGAUGAUCAAAUUACUGACAUUUUUACCAAGGCACUACCCAAAAGCAAAUUUGAGCAGCUAAGAAAAAUGAUUGGAGUGAUUGAGAAGAGUCCUAAGGAGGGGUGUUGAAAGAUGGUCCUCUUCUCUGUUAAUGCACACAAUUAUUUACAGCUCACUUGUGCAUUUAUUGCUAGAAAAUCCUAGAUUAUUAGCUGUUAAUUAUUGUGAGUCUAGAAGUCAAAAAGUCACUAUGUUAGUUGAGAAGCUAGAUUUAAUGCACUAUCUAGAAUUCUCUUAUAUUGGCUAUUUAUAUGCAUAAUCAGUAAAUCAAUAAAUGCAAGCAAUUCACAGCAAAAAAAAAUUUUCUAUCGUCUCUUUUCCUUUCCUUCUCAGCACUAUGAAAGCACAAACACAGAAAUAAGCAUAUCAUAAUAGCACAAUUCAGCACUGAAGCUAACAUCCUAGGGCUAAAAGCAUAACCUUUAUCCUUCCACAACUCAACCUUUCCCUUUACUUUUAGACAUAAGAAUGUCCUACUUGGUUGCAAGACCUUCUUAGGGUUCGACAACCUAGGAUCAAACCAGAUUGAGAAUCAUGAACCUAGAUCUGAAAUCAGAAGCUUUACUUCUAAAUGGUAGUCCUAAUCUAGGCAUGCAUCCCCUGGCCAAUCAUUAAGGAAUAGCUAAUCUGAAUAUUAAUUAAUUAAUGUAUCCCUAACAUGCCAACAUCCCUAACAUGAAUCAAUUAAUCUAUCCCCCUAUUAGCUAGCUCUCAAAUCCAUAAAUUAGCCUAUAUGCUUAAGAAGCUUUAUUUUUUUUUGUUGUUGGAUGGUAGGUUUACAAAACCCUAGAGUAAAUACAACCACUAGCAUUAGUCUAAUGUCCCAAUAACAAGUGGGUAAAAUUAAGGAAGCCUCCUAAAGCAUCAGGCCAUCAUGGUCAGCCAUAUAUGAAAACAUCUAGUCCACUACACCAUUUUCCUCUCUGAGGAUAUGCUUGACAACAAAUGAAGUGAUAUUUUCUUUGAGUCUUCAAAUGUCCAACAUCAAGUGAUGGAUAGGUAUAUGAUGUUCUGCCUCUAUAAAAAUCCAGAAUAUAACCAUUUCAGUGUCUCUUUCUAUAAUAAUGUGAUUCACCUAUAAGAUGGUUAUUGCAUAAACAUCCCCCCAAGCUGUCCUAAGUUCCCCCAAUGGGACUGUGGUGUCAUAAAGCGAACAAUCUCCUGCAGCUACAAAUGCUGAUUUGAAAUCUUGAGUAAUAAAUCUUGCUCCACUAUAUUGGCUUUUUAUUCUUCACAUUGCUAUCAAAGUUUUUGAGAAACUUAGGUGAUAGGAUUUUCAAACUUAAGAAGUUUUUGAGUAUCAAAUUGAGAGAGGUUUUGUUAUUCUUUUGAGCUCCAUGUAGGCCUUCAAGAAAAGACAUGUAGGUAGAAAAGAGUGAGGAAUUCUUGUUGGUUAAGUAAACAGCUAGAAUUUUUAGCAAUUAGUGCAUGAGUUUGACUUAGUUAAACAUAGAGAGAAUUUAGAAGAAUGUUGUGUGGUCAUAUUUGAAGGGUUUGUGCAAUGAUGGGGGCUUGUGCCCUUUAUCAUUAUGGCUAGAAAUGCUUGGAUCUUUUAGGGGUAAUCGCCAAGACUUACACUAGAGAGGGCUCCAACUCAAGUCGAGAAGAUCAUUUACUCAUGUGUUGUUGGAGUACCUAUGACAGCUUGAGACAUCUGGGGCACUCCUGUUCUUGAAGUGUUCAGGAUGGUAUUCAUCUCUUAAGAGCCCUCAUUCCCGAGCUUCUUUAAGAUUAACUUUGAUGGUAGCAUGUUUGAUAGUGGUAGUAGAGGUAGAGUAGGUUUUAUAAUCAGAAGCCUUGAUUCAAGACUUAUUAUAGCACAAAGGAGCCCCAAUGUUGAUACCUCGAUUUUGAGCCAGAGUUGAGGGCGGCUUGGGCGGGUGUCAGCUACAUGCAUUAAGAUUUGAAGAUUGAUUGCAUUCUUCUUGAGGAAGACUCUGCGAUUAUAGUUGUCUGGAUCCAAGGAUGAGUUUGGAGAGUUGGUGUACCCCUCUUUUAUCGGAUAUCUGAGAGCUGGCAGUUGAGGAUACUUCAUUGAUAGACAUGUUUUUUAUGAGGCAAAUGGGGUAAUUAAUGGGGUUACCCAGGGGCGGCUCAACACAUAGGGAGGCCUAAAGCUAAAUACUAAAAUGUGACUUUUUUCUAUUAAAAUUUAUAUAAUUUUUUUACUGAAAAUUUAUUUUUUUAAUUUUUUGAGAUGCAUAUUUUUAAUUAAAUUUUUAUAAUCAAGUUCUUCUAACAUUUCUUUUUCAAUUGAUAAUAUAGUCAAUCUUUCUUGAGACAUUAUUGAUCUUAAGUAAGAUUUUAUUAAUUUUAGUAAGAUCAACAAUCAAAAUUUCUAAUUCAAUGAAUUAAAUAUUAAUAAAAUAAAGAUAAUAUAAUAAUAUAAUAUAAAUUCUAAAUUAAAUAAAAAAAUCUGUAAAGGUUAGAAUAAUAGUAUCCGAUUGUUGAAUGCUGAUUGCAAAUGAAAUGAAUAAUCAACUAAUUAUCUUAUACAGGAGUGCAGACUGCAGAAAAUAUGAGUUAGAGACUUAGAAAGUAUUACCAAGGAGAAGAGUAAAAAGAAUAAGGAAAGAAGAAUUAAGAAAUGGAUACCAUAAAUUAAAAAAAAAAAGACUAACUUUUAUAGGAAAAAAAUAUAACCGUUGUGCAUAUAUUUGUUGAUUGAGACUUGACAUCUAAUGAGAGAAGUGAGAGAAUAUAUGUGCAUCGUUAAAAUAGAAGUAUUAAUCAUAGCAACGCAUCAUUAUUUCUUUCGUCGCACCGUCUACCACGUGUAUCGUGACUCGAAAAAGGAAAAAAAAUUAACCAUCGUGCCGUUCCGCCUUUCUUGCCACCGCUCAACCAUUAGAAGCUCGGAACCCCCCCCCCCCCGUCCGGAAGCCUGGAACUCUGCCACCGCCGAAGAUGCCCGUUAAGCAUGGAAUGUCCACUGCUGAAGAUCAGGAGACGCCCCUCAAGCCAGACCACUCCUGUCAGAUGGGUCUACAUCCUCUCCAUCAACGGCAGUGCCGUCGGUGCUUCCAAUGGCCUCCUCGCCAGUAUCGCCCUCAUCCGUCUCAAGGCUUCCCUCUGCAAGCUCUCCAGUGACUCCACUGUCUGGAUUGCUGACUUCUUCGCCCACAGCCCCAACGAACACCUACUCUUCUCUACCGACGAUGCCCUCCGCCUCCUCACCAAGAGCCACUUCUGAGUCCCGUGAGGCCGUAACUCCCAUCUUGCCAUCUCCGGCGAGAAGAUGACCCUGAUAGAUGUUAGGGGUGGACGGCUCCUAUCUCUCAUCUCACCGUCUCCCAUCUUCCGUCUCGCCAUCUCCGACGCCGUUCAUCUUCUCACGAGUGGACGGCUGGAUGCAGUGGAAAUGGAUGGGAGAGGGGCCUGAGGGCUUAAAACAAGUGGGGGCCUAAAGCAAAGACUUUGCUGGCCUUACCCUUAAGUCGGCCCUGGGGUUACUUCUUUCACUGCUGAGCAUUUUGAUGAAAUUUUGUGCAUUGAUCUUAUGUCAACACCGAGUAAACUUAAAAAAAUAUUUUAUUUUUGACCUUCUUGAUUGUAUCCAUACUAGAUUGGUGUCAACCGAACGUCCUAGCAAAAGAAGAAGGAGAAUAAGAAUUAACAUGCCGCCUAUCAUAUUAAUCCCCAGUUAUUGAUACUACCCGUCCAUAGGUCUGGCACCCAAGCGACAUCCCAUCAUUGUGUGGUACGCAGUUCAUGCAGACAGUCGCUUCCUGGUUCACUUGCUGGGAAAAAAGGGAAAAAAAAAAACUUUGUUUUGUUCUUAGAUCCCCAGUGAACCAAUUAGCAAGAGCUGUCAGAUCCGAAAGCUUAUGCAUUAUUAGAUAGUUAAUAAUCAACACAGAGAGAGAGAGAGAAGACUGCUACAUGAACCCAAAAAGAUUGUAUUGCUUCAGCUUCAUCAGGAGAAAUGCCCAAUGGAGACCAGAUCUUGUGUGGUCAAAAUCCUCGGCGCUCUCUUUUGCCUGCCUGGUGAUUGGCCUGCAUGAUGGGGCCCUCACACCACAACUGUAUCCAUCUUAUGGACCCCACAGUGAUGCAAUUAUCGACGUUCCAAACAGCUCCAGGAAAGGCAUUCUAAAUGGAAAGCAGGGCAAAUAAUACUACGAAGGAACCAGCAUACAUGUGGGUUCUCCAAUGGCUUCCAUCUACUUUUUGUGCAUUUUUGUGUGAGCUUCCUCAGAUAUUUGCAGAUAUCGAAUUGAAUUUGUUGCUAUAAUUUCAAAUUUUGAAAUUUUAGGAGUCAUUACGAUGAACUGCUGGCAAUGGCUUCAAAACCAUGCACUGAGGAGGCGCCAAGCUGAAUCGAACAUCCAUGAGGCUCUGAGUCUACUUUCAAAUGUCUUGAGUAAUGAAAACGACCGAAAAUCACUGCAUUUCUUAGUCAAAUACAAUGUUACCUGGACAUACUACAUGGAUUUUAAACAUCUAAAGUGCUGGAUAUAGGAUCUUUCAUGGUAUUGGACAAAAAACAUGCCUAUAUUAUAUAGAUACAUCUCAAGUAUGUAAAAAUAUAUGGACAUCAUGCAUGUUUGUUGGAUCAACUCCUUUGUAAUUAUUUGAUAGAAUUCAUACGACCUUUGCCAAAUGUUUUAUUAGACUCGAAAGAAAGCUUCCAAGUGUAGGUGUGAAAAUUUGACAUGCGACCAUCAUAAGAUCAUGGUUCAUUGUUUUGAAGUGUCAAGGAAGGUCAUGGAUUGUCCAAGUGCACAUGUAUCUGGACACAACGAAAAAACCCAGAUUUUGAAGUUGCCCAACACCAGCCAAAUACAGUGAAGACCCUCGUAAUGUGCCACUUAAUGGCUAGGAAACUUUCAAAAGAAAAUCUAUAUUGUAACUUAUCUUACUACACAAUUACAAAUUUCACUAAUACACAAUAUAUAUCAAGGGGCUUCAAAUGCAUGCCAAGAGUCCUAGACCUUGUGCACUUUGUCGUAAGCACUGGAGAAAUGCUUAGUUGCAGCCAUCAUAGGUGAUGCAGGCCCUGGGGGCAGUGGAUCCAAUGGCCAAUCUCUGCAAUUAUCCUUUCCAACUGAAUGCAGUCAUGCACCAAUGAGAACCACCCCUUCAAGAGUUGUGAUAAUCACCAACCCCCCUUCUUGCCUUCAGCCAUCUUAGUCCUAUCCAGCAGCAAACAAUGACUAGCGGCUGAUGUUGUAUCUCUUAAUUUCGAUGAAGACCGGGAAGGUGGUGGAUAGAGCUCGGUGGAGAGUGGAUGGUGCUUGGAAGGACUGCUUAACUUUUUGAAGAACAGAGAAGCUCACUAUUAUGAAUGCUUAUUUAUUGUGCUAUGGGCCUGAACCUGUGAUACCUAUAGCGAAAUUUCUUGGGCAUCAGACUCCAGAGCAUUCCAAUAACGUAGCGCGCAAAUUUCUUAAUGUUGCAUGAUCACAAAAAUAAAUUAUGCAAAUUGUUAUGAAUAAAAUACCAACAGACUACCUACUACAAAACCAUAUCUAGUUUUAAACAAUUAUAGCAGAGCAACUGACUGGCAUAAAGAAUAAAACAAUUUUGUUGUCCAUUGAAAGCAUGGAAGAAAGGCCAACAAAAAAUGGCUUUUUACAUAAAUUACAGGAAUUUUUAGCUCUCACAAUGGUAUGCCUCAACUAGAAAAUUCAAACCCAAUGGCCGAUAGAACAAGAACCAAUUCAAAUUUAAUCAGGCCAGUUGUAGGCUAAGUCUUCUGGUUCUUGCUGCAUCAGUGAAAAUCUCCUACCACCAUGAUGGAAGUUAGAAUUAUUUUCCAGGCACCCUUUUCACCUCUCAGAAUAUACAGUAUCAACCAGGAAAUUAGGCUGGCUGACAAAGGCCUCCGAAGUGAUCAUUUAAGACAUUUAUUGUUUAAUCCCGAAUCAUCCUUCACCACCCUCAAGAUACUCUUCAUCCACUAUUUGGGCAUCUUCUCGGCCACUUAUUUCUGUACCACCAAUUUCUUGACUAUUGUUCCAUUGAAAAAUUUGUUCAGACAAUAAAUCGCCAGCCUCCUCUGUGUCCACUUCUUUCUCAGAAACAGUGCUAAUUUCAGUUUCCAUCCAAGCAGGGCAUGAGUAUGUAACUCCAAACAAAACCCACGAGUUCAACCUUUUUGAGGAACCAGCAGCAUUGCGACCCGCUGCUUCAAGUCUAUCUUGCCUUAAGCACGAACAUUCGGGAAUUGGGUGCGAGAGAAAUGACAAUGGCUUCAAGUUCAUGGAUGCUUCAUUGAGUCCAUCUAAUGCAGUUCGAUUGAGGUGGUCACGUACCAAUAGGUGCCAGGUCUGAUUUCCUUUGUAUAGAUGACUGCGGGUUUCCUCAAAAAGCUUGGCUACAACUUCCCUAUGUGAAUACAUGUAAGUAAUUAAUGUUAGAAAAUAAACUAAAUGACUGCAUGAAUAGCAUGAGUUUGAUGGAGGAAGACAGUGGGAAAACUAUUAAAAUACAUUGAUUUAACAUGUCCAACUUGAAUGAUUCACAUAAUUUCUUUUAAACAAGUAUGGUGACAAUGUACCACUACCAAGGUUUGAAUGCUGAACUUCUGCCAAGAGCAAGCCUGAAAAAUAAAAUCUAGGAAGGGCAAAAUUUUUGCUGCAUAAAAUCUAGCAUGAAUACCAUUGUUGGUCAUUAGAAUGAUGUUGUCAGAAACUCAACUCCAAAUUGAAGGACCCAACUGAGAAAGGUACAUUUCCACAUUUUUUGUGCAUAUAACAUGCAGUAUAAUUUUUCUUUAAUUAGUUUACUUUGCUAGUUGUAUUUUUGUUAUAAAAAGUGGUUGAAAAAUGUAUGAAGUAAGCCUGAGAUCAUCUAAGUCAAACAGUUAUUUAGACAAUUUAUUGGAAAAGUGUCUUAUAGACACGAUUAAUCCAUCAAACAUAGAACUGUAAGAACCUUUGCUUAGGCAUGUAUUUUAUUUCUAGCAUUAUUUGGCAUGUUCCAGUCUCUUGAACAUGUUUAGUGAUUUAACAAAGUAGGCACAGCAAAAGAACAUACAGAACAAUUUAAAUCUUUGAGAUUAAUCAUAUAAUUUCAUAAUUUUUCCCUAUAAUGCCUACAUUAGAACCUCAACUAUGUAAAGAAUUCAAAAUUUAUAUGUAGAAAUCAACAUAAAACUGAAGAUAUUUUAUGCAUUCCUAAAGGGUAUGUUGCAAUUAUUCUUCAUCAAUUAUAGAUUUUUUAUCUGAAAAUGAAUUUCCCCAUUGCUUCUACUCUGGGACAACUUCAAAUUAAAAACCUAGUUUUAAGACUAAUAUGUCUGCCUGCAAGGAUUAUUGGCUGUAAGUGCAGCCACUUUUCUGCAUGGCAAAACAUAGCCUUCAAACAGGACCAACUUGCAAAUUAAUUCAUCAGAUACCUGAAUUAUAUUAUUCAUUAUGUAGGUUUUAAGUUUGUAUCGUUGAGAUUUGACAAUGAUGAUGUACAUAUAUUUAUAUGUGUUUUCACGGGUCUGUUAGUUUGUUGAUUUCAUUACAAUUUAGUUAUUCCCUAUGUUGCUUUCCUAGCCAUUGUAGACAUUGACUGUAUUUUUUUGAUUAGUAGCAUUAUAUACAGUUUGGUUGCAAUUGGAGCAUAAAAGGCAACAAAUACAAUAUGAAAAAAAUGAUGGCUUCAAAGGAAAAAAAAUACCAAAUGCAAUGCUGAGGGUUCAGACCUAAGAGUCACCCUACAAAUUACAAUUUUAAGUACAUAUUCCAUUCAACGAAGUUAAGUUUAUCAUACUAGAUAUUAUAUUUUUUAGUGUGAAUAUUUCAACAGUUCUUUAAAUUUUCUUCAUCAGCAUCAUCACAUUCACACGCAAACAACAUACCCUCUAAUAACUAACAUUCAUGGUGGAAAGUAUAAAUGGGCUCCUAAAGAUAAUUAUAUAGUAUGUUUAUAUUAAUAUUUUUUUACAAAUUUAUAACUUCAAUGAUUCAAAAUUGAUAUAAAAAUUGAUCUCGCGUGAUGGCUUUGGAUCUAAUACAGCCCAAAAUCUGAACUAGUAGCUAUUUUUAAUCCCAAAGCCAGCAGCUAAAACUGAUUAUCAAACCAAGUGCUGGUGUAGUAAAGUGUAAAUUAUAUUUAAGCCGAAAAGAUUUAUAUAAGCAUACUAUAAAAUGUUUAUCAUAGCUCAAAAAUAUAUGGAUGUAUCAAAUUAAAAUCCAUUGAGUAAAUAGGGAAGUUUUGAAUGCAAACAAUAAGCAUGAAACUGAUUAGGUCCUUAUGGUAUCUUGUAUUUAUAGGAUAGAUUGCUAAAAAGGCCUCUCUGCUUGGGCCUUUAGCCUGGGGCUAAGAUCUAUAGGGGAUUACACCUUUGUAUUUUUGGGGCUUUUGAGUGCUCAUGGGACCGAGGACUUUUAUAUUGGGAGGAUUUCCUCCUCUUUGUACUUUCUCCACUAUUGGUGAAGCUUUCUCUAAUAGUCUCAACCUGUGGACAUAGACCAUUGGUCAACCCAUGUAAAUCCAUGCUCUUCCCCCUCUUUCUUUGUUGCAAGGUUUGUGGUAGGUACCGUAUGGUACCAACCAUACGAUACCGUAGCUACCGAACCGGUAUUGGGGUAUGGGGGCCUUCCCUACACUCGGUUAGCCGAACCGGAUAUCGUAUCGGGCGUAUCAAGAUGGCAAACCUUGAUUAUUGUCUCUAGAUCUAUUCUCUAGCACAACAAGGUCAACUUCAAGUUUUAAUUGAACAUGAAUGAAGAGUAUUUCUUCGUGAUGGUACAUGCCAUACAAAACAUAAUAACCCAAUUGGAGAUAGGCAUAGUCCAGCAAUGCAAAUCACCAUACCACCCAUAUAAAUUUAUAUGGAACCAUAUUGUCCCAUAUUGGGUCAUGAUGAUCUGAUAUGGCUAGCGUGAACCAGUUUAAGUCCUUAAAAGCUUAACAUCCCUCUGUAGGGGUUUUGUGGUGUCUUAGGGGUUUUGAAGGGAGAUGAGAGAUCUGCCACCCACCAACUUAAACAUCUGAUUUUUCUUGUUGACUUCGGUGAUGAGCUCAAUUCUCACCCCAUUGCAUAAUUGAGCCUACUUGAGCUUGUAUGUCAAGGUAACAGCACAUUUUUCUCUAUUAGUUUGUGAAAAAAUCGAACUUUAACCUUCUUUGGUUUGAAUAAUUAAAAUCUAAUCACAAAUACAAUUUCCAACCAAAUUCAUGAACUAGAUUAGGAAUCUCGGAUUGUAAGGAUCCAGAUAUGCCAAACCGACCUGAAACGUCCAAUUCGGAGUGCACCAAUCAAAUUGGUAUAAUGUUGUGUUGUUUCAAGGUUCAGCUUGGUAAAGGAUCCAAACCAGGCUGGAUUGGCCCGAAUCAAGCACCCGAUCCUGCUCGGCUCGGAGUGGUUUGGGAUGGUUUGGGCCCCUUACCCUUUUUCUCUUUUCCUUUGUCUUUCUUUUCCUUUUUCCUUACUUUCUGUUUCGUCUCCUCCCUUUUUUUCCUUUUUCUUUUUCUCCCCUUCCUUAAAUUCCUUUUCUUCUUCUUACCUUCCAUUCUUUACUUUUCUUCUUUAUUCCUUUAUUUCUUUCUUCCUUUUUCUUCUUCCCUUCCGUUCUUUCCUUCUCUUCUUCUUCCUUCCUUUAUUUCUUCUUCUUUCCUAGCGGGGGGCCCUUAAGAAAACAAAAUUUCCAAUGGAAACUUGCAUCAAUUCAGAGUCAUACAACAUAAGAAAAAGUAAAGAAUGGAACCAGUGUGUAUCUCAUAAUAGACAUAAGAUCUAGGUGACCCAAGAAAAGGAAACACUGAAGAUUCUAAAUAUGCAACAUGUACAGAAAAAAUCUACAAUUUGUAAUUAAUAUUCAUAUCAAUUCACCUAAUAGACAACUAAAGCCAGAAAAGGUGCAGCUGAUAGUAUUUAUACUAAUAUAUUUGAUCAUUAUCCCUCUCAUGCAACUGCACUAACUACUGAUUAGAUUUUCUGCAACUGGUCUUCUUGGUAGCUUCUUAUAUCACAUGUUGGCCUCCAUGAUCACUAAUACUGCUUGCUUCAAGCUUCAAUUUAUCAUUUGCAUCAAAGCACCUAGAACUCAUUACCUUAAUUAAUGAUCAGUUGCCAUAAGACAUCAACCCAAUUCACCAAUUAGGUCAUCCUUCCAAUUAUCUCAUCCAUAUUUUACUAUACCAUAGAUUAUCAUCAGUGGAUUCACUGUACAUAAUAGAUUGGUUCAUCUCAUGGUAAACUCUAGGGUUACCAUCCACUUCAGCUUAAAAAAAUUUAAAAUGCUUGGGUAGCCCUAAAAUAAUCCUCAAAAACAAAGAGAGUUGAAAAAAUAAAAAAGAGCCAAAAAAUAUUGUAUUGGUAUUGAACUGGCAUGCAUUUGCAUACCAAACAUCAGUACAAUAUGUUUUGGCACCAUACUAUACUGGUCAAGUACUAGUAUGAUACUUGGUAACAAAACUUCAGACCUUGGUAAGGAUAGCAUUUUGAGAGAGUGGGGAUGAGGGAGGUGGACAGCUUUGACAAAAUUCCUCUCCAAAAGCACCAUCAUCUGAAAUUGAUUUAAAAAGUAAUCAUCAUGUGCAUAUCCACUAGACAUGCAUAUGCACAUAUGUGCACACAUAUAUUAAUAUAUGUAAGUGUAUACACACACAUAUUUGUUUGAAGACAUGAAAGUUAACGGUCUUUUUUUUUUGCUUAAAACUCAACAAACAUGCUAGUUGCUAAAAAUAAUAUUUCGACUGCGACUAAUCAAAAAUAAUAUUUGCUUAGAGACAACAAAUGAAUUCAUUAGUUGGCUGCGACUAAUUUACUGGAUAUUCAAAAUGGUUUGUGAAGUAUGCUUACAUAUAGGGUGUAUCCUAUGAAUAACAGAUACCUGUUUGGUCGAAAUGUUUUUGAUGCAGCAUACAGAUAAAGGCGGUGCCCCAUGAUCAAGCUAGCAAGAUUUAGGUGUCCCUUGCCAUCUCGGUCAAAUCCAGGAAAAAAUGCAUCUGCUUCAACACUGAUUAAGUAGUCUAUUGCUUCCCAAAUAAGUUUGUGGGCAUUGGUUCUUAACUCCAUGAGAGUCAUCUCAGGCUUUUCAUUAGUGUUGGCUAUCCAGCGCCACCAAUCAUUGCCGGUGGAUUGGUAUUUGGGUCUUGCGGGAGGUGGUGGAAGCGGCCUGGGUCGAGGACCUGAUGUCUUCCAUGCCUCAAGCAACACUUCUUCCUUGUUCAGAGGUUGCUGAGGAAGAUCAGUGAAGAGGGAUUCCUCAUGACCAUAAAUGCUAGUAAGCUCCUCAACUGUGCUAAUUGAGGUCCUAUCAAUGGCAUUCUCAAACAUGCCAUGAAAAGGGAUCAUUAUCCUCUGCCCACCAAAUAAUUCCCCCCCUGAAACAUAUAUUACGGUGUCCGAUGAGUAGCCAAAUGCAUGUAGAAGAAUACCAACCUGUAAAAUUAAUUCUCUGGCUAACAUUACAGGACCUUUUAUUUUCAUAUACUGAAUGUCGAACAUGGUGAGGCAAAAGUAAUAUAAACAUGUUUCAAUCAUAUUAUACCUCCUCAGGCAUAAGUGGACAUGAACCGUUAAGCCUUUGUUUCAUGGAAUCGACAGAAAGUUUAUCCUUGAUCAACUUAUGCUUUAUCAUCCACCGUCUUCUGCGUUGUAUAAGUUCAUUGUGUAUAUCCUACAAUAAUUGACAAUAAGAUGCUUUGGUUAAAGACAUUAGAGAUUUAUAGAUGUGGUUACUUAAGCAUGAGUCAUAUUUUUAAAACUAGAAAUCUGUACCUGGAAAAGUUCAGCACAACCAUGAUAAGCUAAAGUAUCCAGAGUCAUUCCAGAAUCAUAAGCUAAAAAUGGCCGCCCAGAGGCACGUAACCUGAUAAGUUUUAAGAGAAAAGAUGUUACAGGAAUAAAAGGAUGGAUGCUUUAAUGGGAAAAAAGGAAUGGGUACAAGUUGGAAAAAAAGAAAAAGAAAAAGAAAAAAGCUUCUAACCUGUGCAGCAUUUUCAUACCAAGAUCUUGGACUUCUUGCCGGAAGAGAAGAGCAUGAAAAGCAACUCUACAUCUCAGUCUCUGGUAUUCUUCAAGUUGAGGGGGAAGAAUAGCCUGGGUUAUUUAAUGCAGAAGAUAAGUUUUGCACAUAAUUGAGGGAAGUGAAUUGAAGUCUUUGCAACAUUACUCCUAGAAAUUUAUGCAAUCCCCUAAUGAAAAAAGAUCUUCACAAAAGGUUCCAAAUCAUCAACAUAGGUCAAGAAACAUUCAAUUUAUUAUAUCAAAUAAGGCUUAUCACAUCAACUGUCAGCUUCUUAUUGGAGAAAAUCUAUCUCAUUAUUAUUAACUAGCCAUUUGACCCUAAAAGCUUAAGCUUAGACAGAAAGGGUCAACGACAUACAUCAAGCAUAAUGUCUCUUCACAUGUGGCCCAGUCCAUGCAUGUGAUGGGAUAACUGUCAAGACAAGCCAGAUAAUCAGAGAUAAUUAAAAAAAUAACUAAACUGGAGGGAUUUGAACUCAUGACCUCUGCACACCUAAGCUUGGAUACUAUGUUAUAGAUUCUAAAAGCUUAUAAAGAAAGGGUCAAUAAUGCAUAUCAGGCUGAACAAUUACAAGGCCUUUCUGGUCAGCCAGCUGUGGAUCUAGCACCAAUCCCACUCAUUAUUAAAAUAUUGAACACCCAUUCUACUCCUCAUAGUGCAGCUAAUUAUGUUCACCAGUAACUAAGCAAGAUACAAUCACCACCAACUUCUCUCAUUAUGAAUUUCUGUUGGUACAAAAUAUAAUGAUUGGAGCAAAAAAAAAAAAUGGAAAAUAAGAAUUUUUUUCAAAGUAAUGACACUAAUCAGGCUGAGGCACAGAAAUCUUGCUCUCUUUAAGGAGCUUCAAGCCCUCUAGCGUUGGCAAAGCCCACGAACUAGUGCAGCAAACCUCUUUGGCUUGUCUCCUCCAUGAUAUAAUAGCCUGACUGGAUCAUCGUAUGAAUCAAAACCAACUCUACAUAAAAGGUUGAACCCAAAGCUCCACCAAGAGAACACCUUUCUUUGGCUAGCGUACUCUCAAGUUUGUUGGCAUGUGGGAUGAGGACGCAUUGUGUUGUGUGAUUUUAGGUGAAUGGUGAGGGGUCUAUUUAUAGGCUCAUGGAGCCCUCCCAAGUUAAUAUGGUCCAUUCUUAGCCAAAAAAAGUAGGCUAGAGGGGUGAGAGGAUGAUAAAUUUUCUGUUACAAAAAAUAAGAAUAAUUAGGUCUUUAACACAUAAGUAGCGAGAGUAGUGAGAGACUAUAUGAUAAAUAUUCUGUUACAAAAAAAAUAGGAAUAAUUAGCCCUAAUCGCACAUGAAUAGUAGAGUCAAUACAUGAAACUCCUAUGCACAUGAGUAAUGGUAUCAAUGCAUGAAACUCCUAUCCAUUCAUAUUCCCCCCAUUCUCUCAAAAUUAUUAACUUAUUCACAUUUUAAUAUUCAAAUGCACCAACAAUCUCUACAUCAUGUCAAUAAGAUGCAGAUUCAAAAUUAUGAUUUUGGCAAUUGAAUCUUAUCUCGGCUCUAACCUCUGGUUUCCGUAUCCCUUUACUAAGAUCUAGGAGCACCAAGAUAGUUGAUGUUAGAAACUACUUUAUAGAUUAGUUCUGGUUGUUCUCACUUCUUUGGGAUGUUACUUUUUCCUAAUACAAACUCAAAAUAACCUAUUUCACGAACUAAUUUUGCAAACCUCAAUUAGUGUUAAAAGAGGCUAGACAUACUACAUUCAAGCAAACAUAUUGCAUUUCAUUUGACAACCAAGUUUGUGUUUUUAAUAAGUAUGAGUAGACAUGGCCAGAGUUCCAUCCCUUUCCUCCACAAAUAGAUCAGAAAGUUACUAAUAAUACACCUCUCUCAAAAAGGGAAAAAAGCCAAUAACUUAGAACCAGAUGCCACCCCCAGCAGUCAUGUAAACAGUGAGUCAGCUUCUUCUGUCUCUGAAAAUUUAAAAUUAUCUUAUGGCAAGAAAAAGAUUUAUCCUCUCAGAUACGUUGCAAUUUAAUUUCUAUUGGCCAAGCAAAGUCUAAAAUCUAUUUUAACCUUAAAAAAUAAAUAAAACAUAAGAAUUUUCUUUAACCAAAAUUUCAGCGGAUGGGGGAAAAUAAUAAAAAGAACCACAUACUCAGGAUACCUGCAAACAUCCUCCAUCUGCAACUUUUAGUUCUACAACCACAUACUGUUUUAGUGCUGGAAGAACUACUUCAAUGUAAUAAUCUGGUGAAGCUGAGUAAGGCACUUUAAAAGAAGGAAUCUCUUUCCUCCUCUUGGCGGCCUUAAUAUUCUUUGGCAGGGCUUUUACAACAUUGAUAUCCUUUGCUAAUGCUACAAUAAACUGAUCCUCGUUGUAAAGGUAUGUAAAGCUCUUGAAAUCAGAGCUGUAUAAAAGCAUAUAAUUUUGAAAGUUAAUAAGACUGGUACAACCAAUUAAGAACCAUCAGAUAAAGCUAAGAGUACAUAUUGAAGCAAAAGAGGAGACCUGACACCCUUGUUGCCAGUGGUAGGUUGAAGUACAGGAAUCACUAAAGUGGCAUUGAGAAGCCUUGAAACCGCAACAACAUCACAUAUCUGGAGGCAAAAGAGAAAUGAGAUGGCACUAGUAUAUAUACUAGUCUUUAUUUCAUAUUAUAGGCAUAGUGUGCAUGGCUUACCGAAUUUCUUAUUUCAUGAAAACCUCCUUGUAUCUUGACAAAAAUAUAACCAUUGGCUUCUGAAGUAGGAGCUGUCAUUCAGUACAACCAGGUAAGAAUAACCACAGACAUGGAUAUAAACCACACACUACAAAUUGCUUUACUGGUGUACAAAGCAUGCAUGAUGGAGAACAUUCUCUAAUCUGCACAUUCUCAAUCAUAUGUGCAAGAAGAACGCAACUUUCAGUCAACUAGAAAGUUUGACCAAGAUAUGGCACGGUCAGCUUUACAUGCAAAUUCAGAUAAAUCUCUGCAAUCAUUUCUACGUAAUAUGUUUUUGGUGGAGGUAAAUAUUAAAAAAUCAAAAAAUCAAGAAUCUGCUUAACAAAAUAGUCAUGAAUAAGAUCCGAAAGAAACCAUUUAUAAGAGAUUAGAAUUAGGAGAACCUGGAUCAAAGCCAUGUUAUGCACUGCUCUAGGAGCAUUAUUGCCUAUCUCAUGCAAUAUAAAUGGUUGUCAUGCCCCCAAGGUACAAAUGAUCUCGACUCCACCUAGCUCCUCCCUAACACAUGGAAGGCCUGACCCGAUCAAAUCUUUAGUUGUCAGAGGUUAAUUUUUUAAACAUAUAAAAUAUAAAAAAAUAAUCAUAUAGAUAGUGGAAAAGGUAGGCGAGUAAAGAGUGAAAAGAGAGUAGUGAAGAGAGAGAAGGAUAUGGCCAUCGCAGCGAGAGCAAGCUUUCUAUUAUGCAGUAUCAAGGAACUAGAUGUGGCUUUUGUAUGGAGGCUGGUCAGGUAAUAGCUCUAACAGCUGGUAGCUGGCCCAUAAAGGACGCAAUAAGUCUUUUUGUAUUUAAUCAAGGUUCUGCGUGGUUGCUAUUAUAAUUCUACUACUCCAAAUCAAGACACCCACCUUAGUCCACAAUAGGAAUUAGUGAACCUCUACCAAUUUAAGUCACACCCUUCCAAUGGCCAGUUUAUUAUCUUUGCUUAUCUUUAUCUAGCAAUCAAUUGAAGCGGUGUCUACAUCUAAAAGACUAGAUAGUUGCAUAAAGAUAUCAUAAUAAUUUAGUAAAGGGUUUGACCAAUAACAAGUACAUGCUUUAUGUGCUGGAAUUAUUAAUAGGGAAAAUCACAAAAACACCCCCUCAAGUUUGGCCAAGUUUCACUUACCACCCCUCUUGUUUAAAAAUUUCCAAUUAGAACCCUUAAGUUCAUUAAGUGGUGCAAUGUGGUCUCACCAUCCAUCUCCUUUACUUAAGCUCAAGGGAUUAUGUUAUACGAUCAUCAUAUUACAUGUUUAGCACUAUAAUACCCUUGACAAACAUGAGGACUUAGUGAAGGGGUUGGACAGUUCUCAGGCUCCUAAGGUUCAAGGUGUGGCAGCAAGAAGGGUGGCACAAGGUUGGAGCAUAACUGCAACACCAAUCGUAGUAAAGAAACUAAAGAAAUCCUAAAAGUACAAAAUCUUGAAAAAGAAACAAAAAAAUUAGAAAAAUGCGGAAGGGGAAAGGGAAAAGAAGGCUCAGACUCCCCAUUCUCUCAUAACUAAUAAAUCAAAAUGGCUGCAAAUAGUUGCCAAUAGAAGAACCAUCCAAGUUGGUUCAUUGACAAGAAAAUAGUUGCUUUUUGUUCCAUAACAUAGCCAAAUCCUCAUCUAGGAAACAUCAAAACUGCCUCAUAUAGAACACAAAAACAAAACAAGAAAGAAGAAUAGAAGCAGGAAGGAAGAAAUACAAAAAGAGAGAGAAAAAGAUGGCAAGGAAAACAAUAUCACAGCCCUAGCUGAGCACAAGGAUGGCUAUGUCCCACAAGUCCCACCAGGUGAGCUGUGCCUCUACUCACUCCCGUGUGCCACCAUGUCCCCUAGCAAUGCCUGUGCGCUCCAGCCACCACCCUCAAUUGGUUGCAGUGCUCCCACAUAGCUUUGUUGUAUGAUGUUCGCCAAUCCUACGAGUGAGCUGAUGCCUCGAUGCCUAAGAAGCAGAUUCAAGAAGAGGAGUUCAUAGUGAGCUGAGCCAAUCUCAACCACAAUGCCCUUCCUAUCUUCCACUGUCCUAGUCUAACUCUAGCUGCACUUAUGAUAAAGCCAACAAUGCUACCAAAGCUACUACCAUCGAGUAGGCCAAUGGGACUUCAAAUAGCGGCCGUCCAACUACUACCUUGCCGCUCAUUGUCUCCCCUCUCAUCCAAGAAAUCGCCCCCCAUUAGAACAUCGAGAUUGAUGCUCUCCACCAACUCUCUCGAUGGUAGUGGCUUCAGUAGCAUUGCUGGGCUUUAUCAGAAGUGUGGUAAGAUUUAGACUGGGACAGUGAAAGAUGGGAGGGCA